rnacentral:rRNA from 1 species
UACGAAGGGGGCGAGCGUUGUUCGGAUUUACUGGGCGUAAAGGGCGCGCAGGCGGCUUUGUUUGUCAGGCGUGAAAGCCCCGGGCUUAACCUGGGAACUGCGUUUGAUACGGCAGGGCUAGAGUUCGGGAGAGGAGUGUGGAAUUCCCGGUGUAGCGGUGAAAUGCGCAGAUAUCGGGAAGAACACCCGUGGCGAAGGCGAUCACCUGGGGUUGUUCUGACGCUGAGGAGCGAAAGCUAGGGGAGCAAACGGG